GAAAGAAAGAAAUCACUGUGUUCUUGGCAUCACCUCCUUCCCCACCUCCUCCUCCACCGCAUAGCAGGAGACACUGUGUCUGGAGGGUUUUCAAGGAAGACUGCGUUGUCCCUAUUGAAAUAAACCAUCCCGCAAGGUUUGUUUCAAUAGAGUCAUGUGACAGAGAGACGUUCAGGAUGUGAUAUAUGAGUAGAUGUGCAUUUAAUGGGCACUGCGAUUCCUGUAUUUGUGAGCAGUGAAUGGUCCAGGCCAUUUGUGUCCAGUAGCCACACAAGCUGUAGGGUGUUAGGUUUAGAGAAGGAGGGCCUCUCUGCCCUCCACCUUGCUGGAGUACAGGCCACCAUGGGUGGUAGCCCUCUGUGCCAUCAGAAAUGUGGUGCUCUGAGAAGUCAUGAAGUUCCAGCUGCAUCUCCAAUGUCAUUUCCCUCUACUAACGUGAAAGGUGUAGCAGUCACCCAACUGACACCCAUAGCAUUGACCAUAUGAACCCAGCCUGACUGCCUUGGACUGCCAUCCAUGGGGCUCAUCACUGUGACUCAGCAUUUGGUCAUCCAACCAUGUGGAGAUCACAAUUCCACAAGUGUUCCCUGUCUUCCUUCUGCCUGUAAGGUCAACUGUCCCAUCCUGAUGAUACAGGGAUCUACAAGGUGUGUUUCCAACCUUCCAGGAGAGACCACGGACCCUGGUGAGGAAGAUACACCUGCAAAGAGAGCUUCAGUGCAGUAACAGCAACGGGCAUAGCUGGUGUGUUCAUCAACUCACGAGAGAUCACACUACCAGCAUCUCCCGCUUGAUUUCCCCAAUGACGAACAGCUUAUCCUGGAAAUGACUCCUUUGGUAGGUAAGUUGGAUUCCCCUUACUGUUUCCCCCAGGCAUGCAGAGCUACAAAGCAAAUUGAUAAUUGGUAUGUUGUGUCAGAGUGGAAUCCAAGAAUGGAAUGCCCUGCAAGUGAUGUGAUUUCUAAAGCAGUCAAUAAAUCUUUCUAAAUUUCCAGGUGAAGCAACA